AAAAAAUGGAUAAAAUUGCAAUAAAUUUUCAAAAUUUCAAAAAAUUUGGAUAAAUUUUUGUGCAUUUUGAAAUUUCGGUCGAUUCUACCAAGAUUUAAAGGAUUGGAUAAAUUUGCCAAAAUGCGAUAAGGUUUUGACUUUUUUUAGUCAAUAGGCUUAUUUGAUUCAUUUCACGGAAUCAGCGCAUUUGGCAGGAAGAACUAGCA
rnacentral:misc_RNA from 1 species